rnacentral:rRNA from 1 species
CCUACGGGAGGCAGCAGUGAGGAAUAUUGGUCAAUGGACGAGAGUCUGAACCCGCCAAGUAGCGUGAAGGAUGACUGCCCUAUGGGUUGUAAACUUCUUUUAUAUGGGAAUAAAACGUUCCACGUGUGGGAUUUUGUAUGUACCAUAUGAAUAAGGAUCGGCUAACUCCGUGCCAGCAGCCGCGGUAAUACGGAGGAUCCGAGCGUUAUCCGGAUUUAUUGGGUUUAAAGGGAGCGUAGGUGGAUUGUUAAGUCAGUUGUGAAAGUUUGCGGCUCAACCGUAAAAUGGCAGUUGAAACUGGCAGUCUUGAGUACAGUAGAGGUGGGCGGAAUUCGUGGUGUAGCGGUGAAAUGCUUAGAUAUCACGAAGAACUCCGAUUGCGAAGGCAGUUCACUGGACUGCAACUGACACUGAGGCUCGAAAGUGUGGGUAUCAAACAGGAUUAGAUACCCCUGUAGUC